rnacentral:rRNA from 1 species
GACGGAGGGUGCUAGCGUUGUUCGGAAUUACUGGGCGUAAAGGGCGCGUAGGCGGCCGUUUGCGUCGGAUGUGAAAGCCCGGGGCUCAACCCCGGAACGGCAUCCGAUACGGGACGGCUGGAGACCGGGAGAGGAGGGUGGAAUAGCCAGUGUAGAGGUGAAAUUCGUAGAUAUUGGCUGGAACACCGGUGGCGAAAGCGGCUCUCUGGCCCGGUUCUGACGCUGAGGCGCGAAAGCGUGGGGAGCAAACAGG